rnacentral:rRNA from 1 species
AUUGAACGCUGGCGGCAUGCCCUACACAUGCAAGUCGAACGGCAGCACGGGGCAACCUGGUGGCGAGUGGCGAACGGGUGAGUAAUGCAUCGGAACGUACCUUUCAGUGGGGGAUAACGUAGCGAAAGUUACGCUAAUACCGCAUAUUCUGUGAGCAGGAAGGCAGGGGAUCGCAAGACCUUGCGCUGAUUGAGCGGCCGAUGUCAGAUUAGCUAGUUGGUGGGGUAAAGGCUCACCAAGGCGACGAUCUGUAGCGGGUCUGAGAGGAUGAUCCGCCACACUGGAACUGAGACACGGUCCAGACUCCUACGGGAGGCAGCAGUGGGGAAUUUUGGACAAUGGGGGCAACCCUGAUCCAGCCAUGCCGCGUGAGUGAAGAAGGCCUUCGGGUUGUAAAGCUCUUUCGGCCGGGAAGAAAUCGCACGGGCUAAUACCCUGUGUGGAUGACGGUACCGGAAUAAGAAGCACCGGCUAACUACGUGCCAGCCGCCGCAGUAACAC